AUGUGGAAGAAGCAUGAGCAGUUAAAUGUUGGAUCAGAGGAGAAGCAGAGGGCUCUCAGGGAGGUCAAAGAAACUGUGUUACACAGGAAGCAUCUCGACAGCAGUAUCGAUUUCAUCGGGAAGCUUGUCUUUGGAUUUGAGGGGCCUUCGGUGCUUGAGGCUACUAAAGGCCCUGGCCAGCCAUUAGUAGACUAUUGGGAUUGUCUGAAGACGAUGGUGCGAGUUUUCGAGUCCCAGUGCGGAUCACUCACUCAGUAUGGCACGAAACACAUGAGGGCGUUCACAAACAUCUGCAACAGUGGCGUCUCUGAGACCGAGAUGAAGGAGGCAAGCAUCAGCGCUUGCGACAGCUACAACAUGGGUAAGUGGAGCCCGCUGGUUCUAGGGCACAGCGCCUGGUCGGCUGCACUACAGUAG
rnacentral:rRNA from 1 species